AGCGAACGUUUGCGGCGGGCUUAGCACAUGCAAGUCGAACGGGCUGUUCCUUCGGGGGCAGUCAGUGGCGCACGGGUGCGUAACACGUAGGUAAUCAACCCUCUGGUUGGGGAUAACACUUCGAAAGGAGUGCUAAUACCCGGUAUGGCGCAGCGGUCUUCGGAUCGCGGCGAGAAAGACCCGCAAGGGUUGCCAGAGGACGAGCCUGCGGCCCAUCAGCUAGUUGGCGAGGUAACGGCUCACCAAGGCGAAGACGGGUAGCUGGUCUGAGAGGAUGAUCAGCCACACUGGAACUGAGACACGGUCCAGACUCCUACGGGAGGCAGCAGUGGGGAAUAUUGCGCAAUGGGCGAAAGCCUGACGCAGCCACGCCGCGUGAGCGAUGAAGGCC
rnacentral:rRNA from 1 species